AUUGAACGCUGGCGGCAUGCUUUACACAUGCAAGUCGAACGGCAGCGCGGGCUUCGGCCUGGCGGCGAGUGGCGAACGGGUGAGUAAUGCAUCGGAACGUGCCCAGUAGUGGGGGAUAGCCCGGCGAAAGCCGGAUUAAUACCGCAUACGACCUGAGGGUGAAAGCGGGGGACCGAAAGGCCUCGCGCUAUUGGAGCGGCCGAUGUCGGAUUAGCUAGUUGGUGGGGUAAAGGCUUACCAAGGCGACGAUCCGUAGCUGGUCUGAGAGGACGACCAGCCACACUGGGACUGAGACACGGCCCAGACUCCUACGGGAGGCAGCAGUGGGGAAUUUUGGACAAUGGGGGCAACCCUGAUCCAGCCAUGCCGCGUGCGAGAAGAAGGCCUUCGGGUUGUAAACCGCUUUUGUUCGGGAAGAAAUCCUCUGGGCUAAUACCCCGGGGGGAUGACGGUACCGGAAGAAUAAGCACCGACUAACUACGUG
rnacentral:rRNA from 1 species